rnacentral:tRNA from 1 species
UAGCUCAGCUGGGAGAGCACCUCCCUUACAAGGAGGGGGUCGGCGGUUCGAUCUU